GGCAGCAUGGUCUAGUUGACCGGGCACUAGAGUGGGGGUUCAGAAACCUGGGUUCAAUUCCCAGUUCUGCCA
rnacentral:tRNA from 1 species